rnacentral:rRNA from 1 species
GAUGAACGCUGGCGGCGUGCCUAAUACAUGCAAGUCGAGCGAACAGACGAGGAGCUUGCUCCUCUGACGUUAGCGGCGGACGGGUGAGUAACACGUGGAUAACCUACCUAUAAGACUGGGAUAACUUCGGGAAACCGGAGCUAAUACCGGAUAAUAUAUUGAGCCGCAUGGUUCAAUAGUGAAAGACGGUUUUGCUGUCACUUAUAGAUGGAUCCGCGCCGCAUUAGCUAGUUGGUAAGGUAACGGCUUACCAAGGCAACGAUGCGUAGCCGACCUGAGAGGGUGAUCGGCCACACUGGAACUGAGACACGGUCCAGACUCCUACGGGAGGCAGCAGUAGGGAAUCUUCCGCAAUGGGCGAAAGCCUGACGGAGCAACGCCGCGUGAGUGAUGAAGGUCUUCGGAUCGUAAAACUCUGUUAUUAGGGAAGAACAAAUGUAUAAGUAACUAUGCACGUCUUGACGGUACCUAAUCAGAAAGCCACGGCUAACUACGUG